rnacentral:rRNA from 1 species
UAGUCCACGCCGUAAACGAUGGAUACUAGGCGUCCGGGAAGUUAACCUCCUGGGUGCUACAGCUAACGCGUUAAGUAUCCCGCCUGGGGAGUACGGUCGCAAAGGCUAAAACUCAAAGGAAUUGACGGGGAACCGCACAAGCGGAGGAGCGUGUGGUUUAAUUCGAUGGCAAUCGAAGAACCUUACCAGGGCUUGACAUCUAGCUGCAUUCUUUUGGAAACAUUAGAAGCCUUCGAGGGUGCUAGACAGGUGCUGCAUGGCCGUCGUCAGCUCGUGUCGUGAGACGUAGGGUUAAGUCCCGUAACGAGCGCAACCCCUAUCCCGUGUUACAAGUGUCUCGGGAGACUGCAGUGGUAAAACGCUGAGGAAGGUGGGGACGAAGUCUGGUCCGCAUGGCCCUUAUGUCCUGGGCAACGACACGCGCUACAAUGGUCAAUACAACGGGAAGCAAAGCCGCGAGGUGGAGCGAAAUCCCAAAAAUUGGCCUCAGUUCGGAUUGCAGGCUGAAACUCGCCUGCAUG